rnacentral:rRNA from 1 species
GACGAACGCUGGCGGCGUGCUUAACACAUGCAAGUCGAGCGGAGCGGCGAACGGGUGAGUAAAGCGUGAGUAACUGCCCCCCUCUCUGGGAUAACAGUUGGAAACGGCUGCUAAUACCGGGUAGUGGGGGAUGACUCGCGUCCAAUCAGCUUGUUGGUGGGUUAGUGGCCUACCACGGCGACGACGGGUAGCCGGCCUGAGAGGGAGACAGGCCUCAUUGGGCUGGGGUACGGCCCAAACUCCUACGGGAGGCAGCAGUGGUGAAUAUUGCACAAUGGGGGAAACCCUGAUGCAGCAACGCGCGGGCGGGAUGACGGCCCUCGGGUUGUAAACCGCUUUCAGCCAUGACGCGGUAGUGGCAGAAGAAGCACCGGCUAACUACGUGCCAGCAGCCGCGGUAAUUC